CUUUACUCUGUGGGGGUGAUUGGCUUCGACAUAUACACGGAGUUACCAUAAACAAAAAAGAGAAAUCGUAUCAAGAAAUUUAUCUUCCUGUAUCCAACCCAUGAAAGUUAUGUUAGAAUGAUUGUUCCUAAUCUUUUUUGAC